UGUAAAAUCAAAAAUAAAUUAAACACACCCU
rnacentral:piRNA from 1 species